rnacentral:rRNA from 1 species
GUAACAGGGAUUGCUUGCAAUCCGCUGACGAGUGGCGCACGGGUGCGUAACGCGUAUGCAAUCUACCUAUAACAGAGAGAUAGCCCAGAGAAAUUUGGAUUAAUACCUCAUAACAUUGUUUUUUGGCAUCAUUAAACAAUUAAAACUUCGGUGGUUAUAGAUGAGCAUGCGUCCUAUUAGCUUGUUGGUAAGGUAAUGGCUUACCAAGGCAACGAUAGGUAGGGGGCCUGAAAGGGUGAUCCCCCACACUGGUACUGAGACACGGACCAGACUCCUACGGGAGGCAGCAGUGAGGAAUAUUGCGCAAUGGAGGAAACUCUGACGCAGCCAUGCCGCGUGCAGGAAGACGGCCCUACGGGUUGUAAACUGCUUUUAUAUAGGAAGAAACCCCGAUACGUGUAUCGGCUUGACGGUACUAUAUGAAUAAGGACCGGCUAACUCCGUGCCAGCAGCUGCGGUAAUACGGAGGGUCCAAGCGUUAUCCGGAUUUAUUAGGUUUAAAGGGUCCGCAGGCGGGAUAUUAAGUCAGUGGUGAAAGCCUACAGCUCAACUGUAGAACUGCCAUUGAUACUGAUAUUCUUGAGUGUGGUUGAAGUAGGCGGAACAUGUCAUGUAGCGGUGAAAUGCAUAGAUAUGACAUAGAACACCAAUUGCGAAGGCAGCUUACUAAGCCAUUACUGACGCUGAGGGACGAAAGCGUGGGGAGCGAACAGGAUUAGAUACCCUGGUAGUCCACGCCGUAAACGAUGACCACUCGUUGCUAGCGAUACACUGUUAGUGACCAAGCGAAAGUGUUAAGUGAUCCACCUGGGAAGUACGUUC